rnacentral:rRNA from 1 species
UACAGAGGGUGCAAGCGUUGCUCGGAUUUACUGGGCGUAAAGCGUGCGCAGACGGUUUGGUAAGUGGGACGUGAAAGCCUGGGGCUCAACCCCAGAAUUGCGUUCCAGACUGCCCGACUCGAGUAUGAGAGAGGAAAGUGGAAUUCCUGGUGUAGAGGUGAAAUUCGUAGAUAUCAGGAGGAACACCAGCGGCGAAGGCGGCUUUCUGGCUCAUUACUGACGUUCAGGCACGAAAGCGUGGGGAGCAAACAGG